rnacentral:rRNA from 1 species
GAGUUUGAUCAUGGCUCAGAUUGAACGCUGGCGGCAGGCCUAACACAUGCAAGUCGAGCGGUAACAGAAGAAAGCUUGCUUUCUUGCUGACGAGCGGCGGACGGGUGAGUAAUGUAUGGGGAUCUGCCCGAUAGAGGGGGAUAACUACUGGAAACGGUGGCUAAUACCGCAUGACGUCUACGGACCAAAGCAGGGGCUCUUCGGACCUUGCGCUAUCGGAUGAACCCAUAUGGGAUUAGCUAGUAGGUGAGGUAAAGGCUCACCUAGGCGACGAUCUCUAGCUGGUCUGAGAGGAUGAUCAGCCACACUGGGACUGAGACACGGCCCAGACUCCUACGGGAGGCAGCAGUGGGGAAUAUUGCACAAUGGGCGCAAGCCUGAUGCAG